rnacentral:rRNA from 1 species
GUGCCAGCCGCCGCGGUAAUACCGGCAGCUCGAGUGAUGGCCGAUUUUAUUGGGCCUAAAGCGUCCGUAGCCGGCCGAACAAGUCCGUUGGGAAAUCGACGCGCUCAACGCGUCGGCGUCCGACGGAAACUGCACAGCUUGGGACCGGAAGGCUCGAAGGGUACGUUCGGGGUAGGAGUGAAAUCCCAUAAUCCCGCACGGACCACCGAUGGCGAAAGCACUUCGAGAAAACGGAUCCGACAGUGAGGGACGAAAGCCAGGGUCUCGAACCGGAUUAGAAACCCGGGUAGUCC